AUUUCAAGAUUUAAUUUCAAAUUUUAUUAAAAUUAUAAAUUGAAUUAAAAUUAAAUUAUAUAGAUUUAAUAUGUUAUAUAUUAUAAUAUGUCAAUUUUAUUAUAAAAUUUUUAAUUGUACUAUAUAAAUAUUAUCUAUAUGUAAAUAUUAUAAUAAAUUUUAUAAUAAAUUAUAUUUAAAUAUUAUAAUAAAUCAUUUUUAUUAAAUCAUAAUAAAUUAUUUUUACAAUAAUUAUUUUUAUAAAAAUUAUUUAUAUUAAAUUAUAUUUUUUAUCAAAUUUAAAUAAUUGUUUUUUUUUACUACCCUCUACUAUUUCAUAAAAUUAACCAAACAUAAUUUUAAUUAUUUUUAGAAAUACCAGCAUUACAAACCAAACAUAAUUUUAUUUUUAUUCCUGACUAUUCCAGUAUAGCAAGCAAUUUCAGGGAUAAAAAAAUUUAUCCCAAUGUUCGUUAUUCCCAAACCAAACGGGGCCUAACUAUACUGCAUUUGUAAUUUCAUCAAACCAAACGGCCCCUUAGUGUUUGUAAGAUUUUCGUCGUUUGAUCAACCCCGUUAACCAUUUUUAUCUGUUAAAUCAUACCAUUCAACCAAUUACUCACUCAAUCCUAAAGAACGACUAUCGCCCUAAACGCAUAUCUCUUAAUCCAAAGAUCGAAAACAUACAAGCACCGUGACUUAGUACUUUCAAAGUCAAAGGAGUUUAAGUAAAUUAUUGGGCUCAAUCCAACUCAACUUACUAGCUAGUUACCUAAAUCUAUUAUCCCCGCGUUACAUCUAUUUUAACCAAUAAUUAAUAGUCAAUAAAUAGUUGUGGACAAUUUUCAGCUUUUUGGCUCGUAUAAUUAAAACUUAAAAUUAAUUGUGGACACACCUUCCUUUGACCACGAAACUGGUUCCACUGACCAAAUUGUGCAUCAGUUUGUCAGGAAACAGUUCAUCAGUUUGUCUUUAAAAAAAAAAAAAAAAAUUCUGAAAAUUUGGUUCAGAUGUGUUCCCCAAAAGAACCAUCAAUUCAUUAAGCAGUACUCAUGCUUUGUUCUUAUUUACUGUUCUUCUGUAAUAAUUUUAUGGUAACACUAAUUACUAAUAGAGUACGGCUUGUAUACUUUUAGAAGCACGAAAACAUCCGUGCUAUACUUUUGAAAAUAUAAAAAAGUUGGUGCUUUCGAUCUUUUUACUUUUGGAUCAAGAACCAUACGUAGAAUUAGAAUAAUAAUGAUCCUUCUUAGGGUUGAGUGAUCUCCUUAGUAUUUAGUAGCCCUCUAGAAUAAUAAUAUUACUCCAUAGACUAGAAAUGAUCAAAGAGUUUGAUUCAAGGCUUAAAAAUUUGAAAGCACCAACAACUUUUUUAUACUUUCAGAAGCGCCAUAGUUGGACUCUCUCUCUCUCUCUCUCUCUCUCUCUCUCUCUCUCUCUCUAUAUAUAUAUAUAUAGUCUGGUUGCAAUACUAUUAAUAAUAUCAAAUGCUUAGUGCUAUCAAAUUUUUUGCCGUUAAAUUUAUUUCUUUGACCAUUUUCACCUGUUAGAUCAUACUAUUCAACUAACUAUCUGUGAGAUCAUCCGGCAUAUUUUUUCAUCUAAAUAUCGAAAAUCUAAUAGCACUAAUAACUUUGUGUUAUUUUUAUUUUUCUAACCUAAUUCUAUAUAUGUGUGUAUGCAUUAUUAUAAAGUGUUGUACUAUGAAAGGGACGUUGAUAGAGAAAGAGCUACAGUGUGGGGCCUCACACCAUAAAAUUAAACCAGUUCGCCAUCUGGUGAGGAGGAAGUAUCAUAAUACAGAAAUUUAUUCAGUACAAUAUGCAUGGUAGGAGAUGUGGCCACAAAUAAGCUCGCAUCUUAAAGCAUUCUUUUCAAACACUAGUGUGAGGCAGAGUUGUUUUUUUUUCUCCUCGUGCGCCUAAGAGAGAGAGCUCAAAAUUUUAGAAAUAUUUUUUUUUAUUUUUAUUUUUUAAUAUAUUCACAAUAUAUUUUUUUAUUAUUUUAAAAUAUUUCUGCAGUUACUAUCCGUUAAGUUAACUUGGGUUAAACGUCAGUUAAAUAUCUAUUAGAGUUAAAAAAAAAAUCAAGCAAAUAAAAAAUAUUGGUGAUGGUAGAAAGUUAUAUUUGAAAAGAUCAAAAAUCAAAACACUUUUUGUACCCCUAGAGCAAAUAAAAAAAGUCGGUAAUAAUGGUGGAAGUGUAUAUUUGAAAGAGCAAAAUAGUAAUUUCAUACAGAUAACAGUUAUUAUUUACAGUUCAUUAAUAGAAUUUAACGCACUAGGGGUAUAUUUGAAAUAGAUUGGAACGUAAAAUUUUUUUUUUUAAUAUUAGCCUUCUAAGAGAAAUAAAUCAGAAAGUCGAAAAUUUUAUAGAAAUAUAUAAACAAUUAUCCCAAUAGAAAAAUAUUAAGUUAAAGAUCCAAAAGAAGUCAAAAUCCAACAUCGCUCCAUCAUUUACGAUUUUGAUAUAAUAAAAAAAAAAGAAGAGAAUCAAUAAGAGUAGUGUAAUGGCAUAUAUAGUUAAUCGUAUUAAUUUCAUCCCACAUUUUGCCUGUCUCAAAUGUGCCAAAAAAUUUUACAUAACUAAUUAAUUUGGCUAUGAAAAUUUUUAUAGGAUUAUUUAGAGCUAGGCUUGUAUAUGCUUUUAGAAGCCUGGUGAUCUCUGUGCUAUCAAGUCGUUUUUGAUACUGAAAUUUCCGAAUCGACAAUUUAUUUUGUUAGACUUAAUUUAAAGUAUUUAAAAAAUAAAUUUCAUAAUUUUUCAAUAUCAUUUACCUAAUUAUUGAAGAGGCCGAAAAUCAAUAAUUUUAAUGAUCGUGGUGAAACAUUUGCAAGUUUAAUGAUUUAGAAAAAUGAAAAUCAUAUAAUAUUUUGAUAGAAAAUUUAUUAUACUACAUAAAAUAAAAUCAAUAUUUUUGAUCUAAAAUUUUUGUAUCAUAUUAUCACUUUUUAUAAGAUUUUUUUAUUUUUAGCUAUUAAUUUUGAGUCAUUUCAAUCGCUAAGUAAAUGAUAUUGAAAAAUCACGAAAUUAAUUUUUCUAGAUACUUUCAAUAUUCUAUAUCAAGUCUAACGAAACCGACCGUUGAUUUAAAAUUCAAGUAUUAAGAGCGACUUGAUAUGCACCUCAAAACCAACUUAAAAAAAAAAAAAAAAAA
rnacentral:lncRNA from 1 species